AUUGAACGCUGGCGGCAGGCCUAACACAUGCAAGUCGAACGGUAACAGGAAGAAGCUUGCUUCUUUGCUGACGAGUGGCGGACGGGUGAGUAAUGUCUGGGAAACUGCCUGAUGGAGGGGGAUAACUACUGGAAACGGUAGCUAAUACCGCAUAACGUCGCAAGACCAAAAAAGGGGGACCUUCGGGCCUCUUGCCAUCGGAUGUGCCCAGAUGGGAUUAGCUAGUAGGUGGGUAACGGCUCACCUAGGCGACGAUCCCUAGCUGGUCUGAGAGGAUGACCAGCCACACUGGAACUGAGACACGGUCCAGACUCCUACGGGAGGCAGCAGUGGGGAAUAUUGCACAAUGGGCGCAAGCCUGAUGCAGCCAUGCCGCGUGUAUGAAGAAGGCCU
rnacentral:rRNA from 1 species